rnacentral:rRNA from 1 species
CGAAGGGUGCAAGCGUUACUCGGAAUUACUGGGCGUAAAGCGUGCGUAGGUGGUGAGUUAAGUCUGUCGUGCAAGCCCCGGGCUCAACCUGGGAAUGGCGAUGGAUACUGGCUCGCUAGAGUGCGGUAGAGGAGAGUGGAAUUCCCGGUGUAGCAGUGAAAUGCGUAGAGAUCGGGAGGAACAUCAGUUGCGAAGGCGGCUCUCUGGACCAGCACUGACACUGAGGCACGAAAGCGUGGGGAGCAAACAGGAUUAGAUACCCUGGUAGUCCACGCCCUAAACGAUGCGAACUGGACGUUGGGAGCAACUAGGCUCUCAGUGUCGAAGCUAACGCGUUAAGUUCGCCGCCUGGGGAGUACGGUCGCAAGACUG